AAUUCUCAACCUUAUUAGCUUUUGUUAAUAAUGGCUUGGAUGUGGGGGUUUAUUUGCUGGAUUCUUAAUGAAAUCAGCUCCCCUUAAAUGUAUUAGAUGGUUGCCUUGUGCAGACUGUCUAUUGGUGUGAUAAUUAUCUACGCCGUGGACUUUCUGUCAGUAUAUAGCACCGCUUCUAACCGUCUGUUAACUCGGACAAUAUAUGACA
rnacentral:misc_RNA from 1 species